CGCCGCUGUUACAUCUUCCUACUCUAGAAGAGAGAAGUGAGAGAUUACUGCGUGUGGCUCAUUAAGAAGGUUUUAUUUUGUCUGCAAAAUUUCCCCCCCGUCUAUUGUCUCUCCACCCUCUCAGCAAAAGUCUCGGCAGAAUCACAUCCCUGGGUGCAUCGCAGCGUUGAGAUAAAUGCAGAAAAUGAACUGGAAGAAAACAGGGAGGCGAGAAAAACGCGUGCCUGGCCGACGAUGGCCGAAAACUCAAAGGAGAGAUGGUUACACUGCAUCGCCAGCUUGCCUCAUCUGAAUCCCUGACUCCUGACCUCCCCUGAGGAAGGUGCUCACUGUCAGAAGAACCCCCGGCAUCCUACCGCCACAGAAAGGUGAUUCCUUUAAAGCGGAAGAAACGGAUGAAGGAGCAAGAGGGGGCUGCGCAAGGUGGGCAGACGGGGAGGGGAGCUGUCGCUUGUGUCAGGUUAACCUCAGAGACACAUCCGGAGCUCAGCAUCUGGGAGACGGAGGGGAGAAAGGCACCGUCGCUCCAUUUGGUGCAAUUUCCCCACGGCAGCAACAGAUAGCAACAAAAGUUCCGUUGAGGUCUUUAAGAAAACACCCCUGGUGUGUGAGUGUGUAAAAGGCAAGAUUCCCAAUAUUCAGCAGAAGACGAGAUGUGUGCAUGUGUCUAUGACAAAGAGGCAGAUGAAGAGAGGAAGAUAAGAGAAAAAGAUGACAGCACUCAAAGGCUAAAGGCAGUGCUUUCUCUCAUCUCCUGACCAACGGCUGACUCUGAGACUGAGAGCCGAGAGCGGAUGGAGUGACCCAGCUCCCCAUGACCCUGCUGAACUGAGUGUGAGGCUCCCCAGCUAAACCCACCAGAGCUCCAGCUCCUGUAAUUGGGUUAAAGCUCUGCAUUGCCUUAUUGAUGUGCAAAUGCUAACUGUCGAGGCAUGUCACUUUCAGACAUAUUACAGAACACCUCGAGGAUGACUGCAGGAGAUCAAGGACACCAAUGCAUCAUUUCAUAUCAAACCCCAAACAUGCGAGGGGUGCCGUUCGUUAAAAUUUAGGCUAUCAAGAAAUAUCCCAUUCAAAAGAAAUGUCUAAUUUGAAGCAGUCCUUGACAGUACACGAUCAUAUCUUAUCGUAUUUAACAACCACUUUUGACAUGAGUUAUGCCACCCUAAAAAAGAAUGUUCUCACAAAUUAUGAUAAUAAUUAAAAUGAUGGGAAGUAUGAAAAUGUCAGUUAACCAGGAGGAUGUACAGUCAGUCAGAAAUUCAAAAUAUUAAAGUUGUGCCCGAAUGGGUCAGACUAAUGAAAAUCGAUGGACUGAUUACAAAAUAAACAACAUUGAUUAAAUAUUACGUAGAAAGUACUG